CACUCGAAUUUGGAUAUUAUUAAACUACCGAUUUUAAUUAUUGUCCAAAUAACAAACGAAUGCGGGUAAGAACAUCGAUCAAUCGCACCCCUCAAUCGAUUUUUGUUAACGCCGACGUCUCUGUGUGCGUUACGCGCAACAAUAUAUUAGAAGGGGUACGGUGAAAUAUUUUUUAGAAUAGAAGAAUUAAAUACCUGCCUACCUAUCUGUAUUUAUUCCGAGCUCCCACCGAUUCCAACCAUCGAACUCGCAACGAAAUACGUACCAAACUACGG